rnacentral:rRNA from 1 species
UAGCCUUGACAUACUACAGAAUUUGACAGAGAUGUUGAAGUGCCUUCGGGAGCUGUAAUACAGGUGCUGCACGGCUGUCGUCAGCUCGUGUCGUGAGAUGUUGGGUUAAGUCCCGCAACGAGCGCAACCCUCGUCCUUAGUUACUAACGGUUUGGCCGAGGACUCUAAGGAGACUGCCUUCGUAAGGAGGAGGAAGGUGAGGACGACGUCAAGUCAUCAUGGCCCUUACGGCUAGGGCAACACACGUGCUACAAUGGUUAGGACAAUGAGAAGCGAUACCGCGAGGUGGAGCAAAUCUAUAAACCUAAUCUCAGUUCGGAUAGCAGUCUGCAACUCGACUGCUUGAAGCUGGAAUCACUAGUAAUCGUAAAUCAGCUAUGUUACGGUGAAUACGUUCCCGGGUCU